ACUGUAGCUUUAAAGGUUCAGAUGAGGUUGACCAUUUCUACAGCACCAAAACAGGAACACAUUAUGCAGCAUGUCAAAAAAUGACUGGGUGGAAAUAAAAGAAGAAACAGAAAUUCAUCUGUUUGCCUGAAUUGACAGGUCGGGCAAACAGAUCAGAGUGGGGGGCCCAAAGGUCCAAAGGCAGAAUGGGUCAGGAUCAGGCAAUCAGAAUCACUCGGGAACGCUAGAGAACUCUCACCAAAGGCUUGAAUAAUCUGGCCCUGAUGACUGGUCUGAAGGCUGGUUAAAUAGAGGCUGAAGCAGGUGGAUCAGAGGAACGUAAAGAGAACUGGGCGGAGCGAGGCAGGUGAAUGAAAUGAGUCAUCAGGAUUGUGAAAAUAAAAUUCUGUUUUCUUCUAGAUUCAGAGGGCCCCCUGUCUCUGCCUAAGGCCCCAAAUUUCCUAAAUCCGCCCCGACUAUAAAGUCCACUAUAUAGUCCCCUAUCUGACGGGGCCACGAGCCUCGAAAUAAACGCCGCAGGCUGCAUUUUCAGUCGGCUUCUUUAGAUCCAGCUGUUUUUUCAGAUUUCCUGCAAAGUGUGUGAUUCAGUUUCCGUUUUUCUGUCUGCAGCCAACAGAACCACAGCUUCCAUCGUGUCGGAGGUCAUGAUGUACGUGUCCAUCAUCGGGCUGCAGGUCUGGCUCCUUAUAGAGAUGAUUUACUGCUACAGAAAGAUCGCUGCGGCCGGGGAGGAGGCCCUACGAGAGGCGGCGAAUGCAGAGUAUUUAGCAAUCGCCUCGGAGAGUAAAGAUAACUGUGCAGGAGUGCAGGUUGGAGAAUAGCACAGGUUUCCUCCCUGGACUGAAAUCUUCGCUUCCAGAGCUGAACUGCAUGUCAACAUCUCGUGUCCAUCUCCAGCACCUGGACCUGACCUACACAGACGGCAUAGAACCAGCACUGUACAUAGCCUUGUGCUUGUUGAAGCAUGUCGUGCACUCGUUAUAGAAUCCAUUAUGCAUUAUCGUAUACAGGUCCGUGUGUUAUUCUCAGUCACAGAGCUUUUUGCUGACCCGUCAGCUUGGGGAUGAAUGAGACCCACCUCAGGCACGUUCCAUACGGAUCCUCACCGAUUUAUAAACUGUCCUUCCACUCUAACUCGUGGUUCUACACUCGGAUGUAAUUAAACGUGGUAUUUAGAACCUCAUUCUGGCUCCUGUUUCCUUUCGGUUUUAUCCAUGAUUCACCUGCAUAUAUAACAUUUAUAUUCAUUCUACUAAGUCCUGCUUUUUGGUUUUUAUUUUUCUCAUUUUGAAUUUUAAAGGUUUUUGGCUUAAUUUCGAUUUACAAUUUAAGGCAACACUAACUUUUAGCCACUAGGGGGAGCCAGUCGUUUUAAAGUUUGGCUCCUCCUGAAGGCCACAGGCAGCAAAUUCACCCCAUUUUCUCUCCAUUAAUAUGUAGUGAAUAAAUUAUUAGU